GUGAGGGAGAGAGGGAGAGAAGAGAGCAGAGCGGGAUAUAGAGAGAUACUUGAAGUCUGAUGGUUUGCAAUCCUAUCUAGACCGUUAGGCAGGGAGGGAGCGCAACAGAGAGUUGGUGAGGUGAGUAUUCACAAACCUCUCCAAAUGGAUGGAUAAUAAAAAAUGGGGACCAACGGAGAGGAAAAAAUCCACCAACAUCACUAUCAGGACUAAUCUCUGUGGACUUUUUCUCUGUCUGUGAGGACAAGAACAUCUGUCAGUUGUGUAACCGUUGUAUGUUCAUCAAUAUUCAAUCCCAAUUCUUGGAUUGCCGCUGGAGGGAGCAGAAUAUAAACCAGCUGUUUCAAUCGGUCGACCUAGAUGGUGACAGAGCUGCAAGGAGAGGGGACAGUGUGGUGUAUGGACCAGCUCCAAAGCAUCAGUGUUUACCCUGCAUGGUGAGCUCUGCUGUGUCUUGAUGGGGCACUUUACUUAUUGGUUUGAUUACACUAAGGUUUUCAGAUGAACUCACUCAUACUGUACUACCUCAUGAUGAUGACCUUCUCCUGAAUCGCUGAAUCAACCCCCCUCCAUGCACACAU